rnacentral:rRNA from 1 species
CAGUUCAGAUUGCAGGCUGCAACUCGCCUGCAUGAAGUCGGAAUUGCUAGUAAUCGCGAAUCAGCAUGUCGCGGUGAAUACGUUCCCGGGCCUUGUACACACCGCCCGUCACACCAUGAGAGUUGGCAAUACCCAACGUACGUGAUCUAACCCGCAAGGGAGGAAGCGUCCUAAGGUAGGGUCAGCGAUUGGGGUGAAGUCGUAACAAGGUACC